CGUUAGCGGCGGACGGGUGAGUAACACGUGGGUAACCUACCUAUAAGACUGGGAUAACUUCGGGAAACCGGAGCUAAUACCGGAUAAUAUUUCGAACCGCAUGGUUCGAUAGUGAAAGAUGGUUUUGCUAUCACUUAUAGAUGGACCUGCGCCGUAUUAGCUAGUUGGUAAGGUAACGGCUUACCAAGGCGACGAUACGUAGCCGACCUGAGAGGGUGAUCGGCCACACUGGAACUGAGACACGGUCCAGACUCCUACGGGAGGCAGCAGUG
rnacentral:rRNA from 1 species